AAUUGCAAAAAAGGAGGCAAAAUCCAGGAACCAGAGAUGAAAAUAAACCAGAAAAGGAAAAGAAAUAAUAAUUACAGCAAUUAAAACGCGGGUUUAAGUAGACUAGCCAAAAAGAAGCUAGAAGAAUAUAGAAGCAUGGGAUUUACCGAUUCAUUGGUCAAAAUCCAGGAUCUACUUACGUUUUUGGGUCUUGUUGUAAGGAAGGACAGGUGAAUAUUUACAGGCAGCAAUGGCGGC
rnacentral:lncRNA from 1 species